rfam:Scleropages formosus scaffold8567, whole genome shotgun sequence.
ACAAAGGCUCUUUUAAGAGCCACUUCAGAACAUCGAUAAAAGGCAA